GACAGAGGGUGCAAACGUUGUUCGGAAUUACUGGGCGUAAAGCGCGUGUAGGCUGCCCCAGCAAGUCGGAUGUGAAAGCCCUGGGCUUAACCUAGGAAGUGCAUUCGAAACUGCUGGGCUUGAGUUCUGGAGAGGAAGGCGGAAUUCUCGGUGUAGAGGUGAAAUUCGUAGAUAUCGAGAGGAACACCGGUGGCGAAGGCGGCCUUCUGGACAGUGACUGACGCUGAGACGCGAAAGCGUGGGGAGCAAACAGG
rnacentral:rRNA from 1 species